GUGCACUCCAAACAGGGUUUCUGCACAAUUCCAAACUCCAUCAAGGGCUGCAUGUAAAAUGUUGGCUUCUUUGUGCAAACCCACAAAUCCUGGGGAAAAGGCCACGCAGGGUCAGCAAUUCAGCUGUUUGCCUGCUCACUUUAUGUAAGAGGUUAGCAGCAGUGUGCUUUUUGUCCCAAGCCAGCAAUAGCAGGAACAGCUUGUUUCUGAAAGGGCUGGGGCUCCCCUCGUAGUGCUGGAGAAGGGGUCCCGAAAUAAACCUUGGAUGGGGAUAGUCUUUGAUUUGACCUCUUCUCCAUUAUUUGGAUUUGUGUGUUUGACUCCCGUCGCUCCCCUCAGCCUGUAAAGCUCAAACAGCACCAGCACAGGUAUUUUCCUUCAUUUCAAUGUGUUUCAGGGAGUUUCAAAAACAUGGCAACGUGGGAAAAGAAGGAAUUUGGGGUGCCAGAGCCCUUACCCCGGAGGAGCUGGAGGGGUUGGAUGGAAAGCAAACCUUCCAUCUGCUCACAGCCUCUGGGUGAUGUCCCAGCAUCAUCCCAGGCCUCAGUGGCUUCAGCCCAGGGAGGGAGAGGAUUUCACAUUUGGAAUCAGCCUAGAAGCCAUGGGAUCCCAGGAACAGGCUUCUCCCUCUAGUGGCAGCAGAAAGGGAGAUGCAGAACUCUUGGACCAGGAAAAGAAAUUUGUGUCUAUAAGCAGGAGAGGCUGAACACCACCCGUAAAUCCAACAAUAAGCACAGUGAAUGCAAGAGGAGCUGUGGCUGCCCCUGGAUCCAUGGAAGUGUCCGAGGCCAGGAUGGACAGGGCUUGGAGCAACUUGGGACAGUGGAAGAUUUCCCUGCUUGUGGCAUAGGGUGGAAUGGGAUGAGUUGAAGGUCCUUUCCUACCCAAACAAUCCUGGGAUUCUGUGAAACCUACCUCUUCCAUUCUAUUUCUACUUUUUAUCUCCUGAUGGUGCUUUAACUAUCCAAGAAGAGCAUAAAUCCACCAAAACUCAUUUUAGAUGGGCAGAAAGGUUGAUCUGUGGAGGGACAUUUGUCCCUGGUUGGCUUCUGAUCUGUCAUUGGUGUUUCAGUCCCCAUGACUCAGUCCCUGCUUCUGCUGAGAUUACACAAAGGAAAGGUGGAAAACCUUAAAUUCAGGGGGAAUGUGUCCUUCAGGCUCUGGUGCUGAAAAUAGUGUUGAGCCAAAGGAUGUUCUGCUGUCAACAGAAAACACAAGACAUCCUCAUCCCCAGGGUGAUUGGGGUGCAGCUCAGGCCCCCUUUGAUGUGGGGCUGCAGAAGAGGUGCCUGCAGCUGAUUUGGGGGUAGAAUUUGUGUAAACUCCCAUUUGUGCUUGGGAAGCUCCACCUGGCUCUGGGGGUGGAGAGCUCUGCCUUGGGAAGGCCUGAGGAGGAAAGUAUGGCCAGAAUCUGUAGUGACAUUAUCACAUCCUUGGGACACAGGAAAGGUCCACCUGGCCAGGGAGGUCACAUGGAUUGGUCCAGGAACUGGAAAGUCUUCCAUGAAGGAGGAACUUGGUGACUUCAGAGAGUGAAGUGCAAGCUCUGUUCCUUCCAGCUGGGAUUGAUAAUUGUCAAGGCAGCCAAAAUCCAGCUUCUUUCUUCAAAAGUUAGCGAUAUUUCUUGUGUCCUUUCUGAGAGCUGUUUCUCUGGGACCUGUUCCAUGCUGGGAUUCUCUGGGGAGAGGACAUAGCACAGGAGGUCUGGCAGGGCUCUGAGGGAUGGUGGUGGCUGCCUGGGCUCACCCAGGUUGGAAGACCUUGUCCAGGGUUGUGUUUUCCUGUCCCCAGACCCUCAGGACCAGCUCAGCUUGUUCUGGUGUUUGCCCAGGAGCCUUCCUCAGGCUGCCUGGGGAGGUCCUAAGGACACAAAACUCUUUGGGAUUUAUUUCUUCCAUGCUGCCUUCUGUGAGAUGUUUUAAAUUUUAGUUACUUUCCAAAUCACAGAGCAAUAUUUUAGGUUUUUAGCACUGUCACUUCUUUAAGUAGCAUCUUGUCCUGACUCUGGCAGAUACCUGGGCUGAUUUUCCAGGCUCUUGUUUCUUCCCUGGACCUGAAAACUGUUCUAAUUUUAUUUUACCUCCCUGUAAAGUUUCUUUUCAUUUGCUGCCUUUGCUUUUCUUAUCGCUUUUUAUGCUCUCAACUUCAUUAUGCAAUUGUUCCAACCCUGCUCUGUAUUUGAUGUUUUAUAACUCGUGUCUGCCUUUUCUUCCACUGUUGAUUACUUUUACAUUUUGAUGUUCCUUCACACUGGCUUUACAGGGGAAAAAAAUAGAAAAAAAACAACGUGAACAUUCCCAGUGCAAUUACUGGGAGGUGGCACACACAACCCCCGGGCAUACAUUAAUUUAUCUUUGAACACUUUCUAUUUCCUCUGUGUCCUUUCUCUCCCCAGCUUUAUCAUGUUGAAUUUCACCCUGCACUUACUCUCCCAACUUUGCUCUGCUAAAAUCUAAUCUACUUGUUUUCUAACUUCUGGUUGAACAUUAAUCCUGGUGAAAUCCUUAAGGGCUGAGCCCAGAGUCUCCCCCACACUCGCAUCCACUCAUAAUUGCAAGUGCAGGAGCCUUGCUCAGGAAUUAUUCCUUACAAAAAGCCACCUUCUUCCCAGACAUUCUUCAGAUUAUGGAAAAAAAUACGUGGUGGGACCCCCUGCACAGUAAAGGAAUACUUUUUCCCCAGAUCCCCAGGUGCUGCUCACAUCCUCUCCCCCUCUCCAGAUUUGUCUUUCCCCCUGAAAUGGUCUCAGCUGAACAUUUCAGCAUCUGCCUGAUUUUGGGACGUGGGUCUCGAGUGCUGCAGUUCUGAAACUUCCAUAAACUUCCAUAAAAAAGAACCAACUUGGAUUGCUAAGCAAAAAGUCUUCAUGUUUAUCAGCAGUUGUUCUUCCAUAUCUUUACCUAGUUCUUGUAUUAUAUGUAAUUAACACAUUUAAUACUGACUUUAAUUGACCUCAUCAAUGUCAUGGCUUAUUAAGCUUUUUAUAGUGUAAUGUUCUUCUUUUUUGUCUCUAUUGAAUGAUCACAUACAUUUAUUUAUCAUAAAUUGAGUGCAUGUAUUUUGGAAAAUAAAAUUGAAAUGCCAAGUGCUUUUCA
rnacentral:lncRNA from 1 species